rnacentral:lncRNA from 1 species
ACUGCUGCACAUCCCUUAACUAGAAGUCCCUCAUCUGUUUUGUCAGGUACAAGAGUACAGCUGAAAUCAAACGGACUCAUCUGACCAGCCCUGCUUCUCUUCACGCCAGCCACCUCUCCAGGAAAAUCUUCAUGCUGGUAGCUAAGUCUCCGUGGGUUCCUGAUGGUUAUUAUCUAGUCCUCCAACGUCGUUAAAGAUCCAGCUCUAUUUUUAGAGAUGCUGUUGACAUGCCUCGUGGUCCUCGGCUCUUCUUAGGCUCCCAGGAGACAUUUGGCACCUCAGGGCUUUAACAUCUCAGGUGAGAUACAACAU